GACGAACGCUGGCGGCGUGCUUAACACAUGCAAGUCGAACGGAAAGGCCCUGCUUUUGUGGGGUGCUCGAGUGGCGAACGGGUGAGUAACACGUGAGUAACCUGCCCUUGACUUUGGGAUAACUUCAGGAAACUGGGGCUAAUACCGGAUAGGAGCUCCUGCUGCAUGGUGAGGGUUGGAAAGUUUCGGCGGUUGGGGAUGGACUCGCGGCUUAUCAGCUUGUUGGUGGGGUAGUGGCUUACCAAGGCUUUGACGGGUAGCCGGCCUGAGAGGGUGACCGGCCACAUUGGGACUGAGAUACGGCCCAGACUCCUACGGGAGGCAGCAGUGGGGAAUAUUGCACGAUGGGCGGAAGCCUGAUGCAGCAACGCCGCGUGCGGGAUGACGGCCUUCGGGUUGUAAACCGCUUUCGCCUGUGACGAAGCGUGAGUGACGGUAAUGGGUAAAGAAGCACCGGCUAACUACGUG
rnacentral:rRNA from 1 species